rnacentral:rRNA from 1 species
UGCAGUCGAGCGAAUCGACGGGAGCUUGCUCCCUGAGAUUAGCGGCGGACGGGUGAGUAACACGUGGGCAACCUGCCUAUAAGACUGGGAUAACUUCGGGAAACCGGAGCUAAUACCGGAUACGUUCUUUUCUCGCAUGAGAGAAGAUGGAAAGACGGUUUACGCUGUCACUUAUAGAUGGGCCCGCGGCGCAUUAGCUAGUUGGUGAGGUAAUGGCUCACCAAGGCGACGAUGCGUAGCCGACCUGAGAGGGUGAUCGGCCACACUGGGACUGAGACACGGCCCAGACUCCUACGGGAGGCAGCAGUAGGGAAUCUUCCGCAAUGGACGAAAGUCUGACGGAGCAACGCCGCGUGAACGAAGAAGGCCUUCGGGUCGUAAAGUUCUGUUGUUAGGGAAGAACAAGUACCAGAGUAACUGCUGGUACCUUGACGGUACCUAACCAGAAAGCCACGGCUAACUACGUGCCAGCAGCCGCGGUAAUACGUAGGUGGCAAGCGUUGUCCGGAAUUAUUGGGCGUAAGCGCGCGCAGGUGGUUCCUUAGUCUGAUGUGAAAGCCACGGCCCACCGGGGAGGGCAUUGGAACUGGGGAACUUGAGUGAGAAGAGGAAGUGGAAUUCAAGUGUAGGGUGAAUGGGUAGAGAUUGGAGGACACCAGUGGCGAAGCGACUUCUGGCUGUACUGAACUGAGGGCGAAGCGGGGGAGCAACAGGAUAGAUACCUGGUAGUCACGCCGAAACAAUGAUGCUAGUGUAGAGGGUUCCGCCUUUAUGCUGCGCUAAGCAUUAACACUCCCCUGGGAAGACGGCGCAAGGUGAACUCAAGGAUUGACGGGG